rnacentral:rRNA from 1 species
GACAGAGGGUGCAAACGUUGUUCGGAUUUACUGGGCGUAAAGCGCGUGUAGGCGGCUUGGCAAGUCGGAUGUGAAAUCCCUCGGCUCAACCGAGGACGUGCAUCCGAAACUGGAGUGCUCGAGUAUGGAAGAGGGUCGCGGAAUUCUCGGUGUAGAGGUGAAAUUCGUAGAUAUCGGGAGGAACACCAGUGGCGAAGGCGGCGACCUGGGCCAAUACUGACGCUGAGGUGCGAAAGCGUGGGGAGCAAACAGG